rnacentral:rRNA from 1 species
UGAGCAAUCUGCCCUUCACAUCGGAAUAACCAUUGGAAACGAUGGCUAAUACCGAAUAUGACUUCGGAUCGCAUGAUCUGAAGUGGAAAGCUCCGGCGGAGAAGGAUGAGCUCGCGGCCUAUCAGCUAGUUGGUGUGGGUAACGGCCCACCAAGGCGACGACGGGUAGCCGGCCUGAGAGGGCGACCGGCCACACUGGGACUGAGAUACCGGCCCAGACCUCUACGGGA